rnacentral:rRNA from 1 species
AUUGAACGCUGGCGGCAGGCUUAACACAUGCAAGUCGAGCGGGGAAGGGUAGCUUGCUACCUAACCUAGCGGCGGACGGGUGAGUAAUGCUUAGGAACCUGCCAUUUAGUGGGGGACAACAUUACGAAAGGAAUGCUAAUACCGCAUACGUACUACGGGAGACAGAAGGGGAUCUUCGGACCUUGCUCUAAAUGAUGAGUCUAAGUCGGAUUAGCUAGUUGGUGGGGUAAAGGCCUACCAAGGCGACGAUCUGUAGCGGGUGUGAGAGGAUAAUCCGCCACACUGGGACUGAGACACGGCCCAGACUCCUACGGGAGGCAGCAGUGGGGAAUAUUGGACAAUGGGCGGAAGCCUGAUCCAGCCAUGCCGCGUGUGUGAAGAAGGCCUUAUGGUUGUAAAGCACUUUAAGCGAGGAGGAGGCUAGUUAUAUUAAUACUCUAGGAUAGUGGACGUUACUCGCAGAAUAAGCACCGGCUAACUCUGUGCCAGCCGCCGCGGUAAGAC